AUUAGAUACAAAACCAAUGCCCCUCGGGGCUCUCUGGUGAUUCAUGAUAACUCGUCGAAUCGCACGGCCUUGCGCCGGCGAUGGUUCAUUCAAAUUUCUUCCCUAUCAACUUUCGAUGUUUGGGUAGUGGCCAAACAUGGUGGCAACGGGUAACGGAGGGUUAGGGCUCGACCCCGGAGAAGGAGCCUGAGAAACGGCUACUACAUCCAAGGAAGGCAGCAGGCGCGCAAAUUACCCAAUCCCGAUACGGGGAGGUAGUGACAAUAAAUACUGAUACAGGGCUCUUUUGGGUCUUGUAAUUGGAAUGAGUACAAUUUAAAUCCCUUAACGAGGAACAAUUGGAAGGCAAGUCUGGUGCCAGCAGCCGCGGUAAUUCCAGCUCCAAUAGCGUAUAUUAAAGUUGUUGUGGUUAAAAAGCUCGUAGUUGAAUCUUGGGCCUGGCUGGCCGGUCCGCCUCACCGCGUGUACUGGUCCGGCCGGGUCUUUCACUCUGCGGAACCACAUGCCCUUCAGUGGG
rnacentral:rRNA from 1 species